CAUAGCGUAGAUCUCAGCCCUUCAAACCAAAUCCAAUGGCUGAGAUUCGUCCACGUCAUCACGAGUUAAAAUUUAACUCGUAGGAGCAAAAAUUUUACUGGGAGUAAAAUUUCAGGAGUUAAAAUUUUACUGGAGUUAAAUUUUAACUCGUGGUGACGUGAACGAAUCUCAGCCGUUGGAUUUGGUUUGGAGGGCUGAGAUCUACGCUAUG
rnacentral:pre_miRNA from 2 species